AUGGCGGAAAGAGUGACGAAGCUGGCGUCGCAGCGGGCGGUGGUGAUCUUCGGGGUGAGCAACUGCUGCAUGUGCCACGCGGUGAAGACGCUCUUCACGGAGCUGGGCGUGAGCUGGGUGGUGCACGAGCUGGACAAGGACCCCCGCGGGAAGGACGUCGAGAGGGCGCUCGCCGGCAUGGUCGGACGGAGCCCGCCCGUGCCUGCGGUCUUCAUCGGCGGCAGGCUCGUCGGCCCCACCGACAAGGUCAUGACGCUGCACCUCAGUGGCCAGCUGGUGCCGCUCCUCCGCCAGGCCGGCGCCCUUUGGCUCUGA
rnacentral:rRNA from 1 species